rnacentral:sRNA from 1 species
AUUUACCGAUGUAGCAGAAUCCUUGAUAAGCCAAAUCAAUAAAAGAUACAAAACAAAAGAUGACAUCAAGUCUACAAGAAAAUUAAAGGAGUCUUUGAUUAACAGUGAUUUUUCAAACAAACCUGUUGUACAACUCAGUAAGGCAUGUCAUGCAUAACUUGAGGUUUCCUGAAGAAAAAGUUCAGAAAAAAAGCUACAGAAAACUGAAGACUACCUUUGUUAAUGUUACUUCUGAAUGCCCAGUGAAUGAUGUUUACAAUUUUAAUUUGAAUGGAGCUGAUGACCCUAUCAUAAAACUUGGAAUCCAAGAGUUUCAAGCUACAGCUAAAGAAGCUUGUGCGGAUAGGUCAAUUAGAUUGGUAGGUCCAAGGAAUCAUGAUGAACUUAAAUCUUCUGUCAAAACAAAAGAUAAAAAAAUUAUAACAAAUCAUCAAAAGAAAAAUCUGUUUAGUGAUACUGAAACAGAGUACAGAUGUGAUGACAGCAAGACUGAUAUUAGCUGGCUAAGAGAACCAAAAUCAAAACCACAGCUAAUAGACUAUAGCAGAAAUAAAAAUGUGAGGAAUCAU